rnacentral:lncRNA from 1 species
GUUUUCUCUGAUAUAAGUCAUAAAAACAAAAAAGCAAAAUUAUAUUUUACUUGAUCGAACUCACUCGCGACUCGUUCUCGGGUACGAGGAACGCGUACCGUGAGUCCCUCGAAUCUCGACUGAAGUAACACGAUCUCGCGGUAAGAAGAGUAGCUGGAGGGAAGGAGAAAAAGAAAGCGACAGCAGGAGAGGUAGGGGGCGGCAAGGGGAGAUGCAAGGGGAGAUGCAAGGGGAGAUGCAAGGGGAGAUGCAAGGGGAGAUGCAAGGAGAGAUGCAAGGAGAGAGGCAAGGAGCUCCUUCUGUUCGCUUCGAACUGAAUAAGGAACUCUUUCUCCUCUUCCUCCUAUACGCUCUAACUCGCUUUCUAUCUCUGUCACGGCGUCUUUCUUUCAAUAAUCAAACCUAUUCAUUCAUUUUCUUAAUAUGGAUUAUUGUCGUUAUUACUCUCCCUCUCCCUCUCCCUCUCCCUCUCCCUCUCCCUCUCUCACUUUGAUAUCUUCUCGACAACACAGCCCACGCAACUUUCCACGGUCUGCCAAAUAUAAUAAUCCAUCGUCAAAGUGUUCAUUCGUUUUGAUGAUAUAUAAAUGUGACGGUUUUUUUGAAGAGAAACACAUUGCUUAUAUUAACAUUUCAAAUAAAAUAAAGUAUUCAAUAUAGAAAGAAGACCGAUCGUUUUAGCAAUCAUGCAUAAACAUAAAAUUUCAAUGUGAAAUAUAAUAUUAUUCGCCGAUUAAAACGGUCGAUGCUCUAGAACGAGAUAUCGUGGUAGUAAUAGACUCAAAUACGAAACAUAUGGCUACGAUGAUUUCCAAGAAACACUUCACUCUCGGCUGUUAUCGUCUAUCUAUAGUUCAUUCAAUUAGGUAGCAACUAUUACAUUACGAAAGUGUUUUCAUAAAAUGUUUAACAUGAAGUGUUUGAUGAUAUUACUGGUACGAAUCGUAAAAUUCGAACAUAUCGAAGAGGGAGAUUUCGACGCGGAUGAAGAUUCGAGGGAGGACUCGAGGGAGGACUCGAGGGAGGACUCGAGGGAGAUAGAGUGUAACAGGCAGCAGGAGUAACCGCGUGCAGCGCGCGUGCACUGCGCGUGCAUUGCACGUGCUCUACGCAAUGCGUGCGUGAAGAUUCAAGAGACAUUUGCUAUUUUAAGAAACUUUUAACACAUGGGACUUCAUCUCACAAAGUAAACCAACGCUGUCUAACUCGUCUCGAAAUGAAAUCGAAAUUGAAUAGGGAGGGAAGAUUUAAUAGGAAGAAAUUUUAUUAAAGAUUUCUUUAACUAAGCGUUUUAGAGAAAACAUAUAAUAGAACCAAAAUAUUAUUCUAUUUCAUUCUUCUCGUAUUUUAAAAAGCAAUGUUUACAUUCUUACGGAUCACUUUAACAGAUCGGUAUUAUUAUUAAAAAUCGGCAAGCAUUCGAAGAUAAUUCAUAUUCAUAUGAAAAAGGUCUUUUUCUUUUAUUAUUGAAUAAUAAAUGGAGAGUAAGUAAUAUAAACAACAUUGACAAUAAAAGAACUUAGGGAGAGGACAACGCGGCAGUCUAACGGUGGAUUUCAAGGAGGACGGUGCUCCCGAACAUAUACUCGGUGUUUUUAAACUACAAUUUACAUUUCCUUCGAGAGAAAAUGUUCUCUUCUUUUUUGCCAUAAAGGAUAAAGGAUAAAGAAUAAACCAAAGGCUCGGAUAUCUUUUACGCCACCCGUCUCGAUGAUACAACAGUAGCAAGGGGAUUAUUACCGUGAAGUAGAAAAAUUGUCCUCACGAUUCUCUCCUUCGAUUUUAUAUAGCAAAAGUUAAAAGUAUUGUAGAGAAAUAGGAAGUGAAACAGGACACUGCUAUGGCCACCGCUAUGACCACCGCUAUGACCACCGCUAUGACCACCGCUGCUGUUUAUUACGAGAAAAAGAAGAAACAGAGCUAAAAUAUCCAUUUCAUUCAAUAUCUAUAUCUACUAACUAACGCAAAUAAUAUUGUGU